UCUGGAGGAGAGCGGCUGGUGCUCCAGGCUGGCUCCACAAGGACAAGGCCCUGAGAUGCAUCAUAGAGAAGACAGUGACAUUACGAGCCUAUUGGAGCAAGGCUUGAAACGAUGGGUCUGACAAUAUGCUGUGUUGCUCUGCGUAUCUCCAAAGGCCAAUUGUGGCAAGUAGGGGAAAUCAGCUCAUUAGAGGCUCUUAUUUCCAGCCAGCCAGGCAGUUUCUCGAGCCCGAAGUCCAUGAACAACAUCUCACUUCUCCUGAG